ACGACUCUCGGCAACGGAUAUCUCGGCUCUCGCAUCGAUGAAGAACGUAGCGAAAUGCGAUACUUGGUGUGAAUUGCAGAAUCUCGUGAACCAUCGAGUCUUUGAACGCAAGUUGCGCCCGAAGCCCUUAGGCCGAAGGCACGUCUGCCUGGGCGUCUCGC
rnacentral:rRNA from 1 species